UACGGAGGGUGCGAGCGUUGUCCGGAAUUACUGGGCGUAAAGGGCGCGUAGGCGGCCCGUCAAGCGUGUGGUGAAAGCCCGGGGCUCAACCCCGGGAGGCGGGUGGAUACUGUCAAGCUCGAGUCCGGAAGAGGAGUGUGGAAUUCCUGGUGUAGCGGUGAAAUGCGCAGAUAUCAGGAGGAACACCAAUGGCGAAGGCAGCACUCUGGGACGUGACUGACGCUGAGACGCGAAAGCGUGGGGAGCAAACAGG
rnacentral:rRNA from 1 species